UAGAUACCCUUGUAUUCCAGUAGGAAAUUAGAAUACUUGAGUAGUAAAUAGUUAUAAUCUUUAAACUUAAAGAAUUUGGCAGUACUUUAGUCUGGUUAGAGGAGUCUGUUCUGUGAACGAUAAGACACGUAAAAUUUUUCUUUCUUUUGUAUAAACAGCUUGUAUACCGUCAUUAUAAAUAGGUUAAAUAAAAGGUUAUUGGAAUAAGUUGAUUACUUUAAAUAUUAGAUCGAGGUGCCGCUAAUAAGGAAGUGAGAGAUGGACUACAAUAAAAUUGAUUUAUACGGAUUUGAUGAAUGAAAUAAGUUGUCUUUGAAGGUGGAUUUAAUAGUAAUUAUAUUUAUAAAUUUAAUAUAUUGAAUUAGCUCUGAAGUGUGUACAUAUUGCCC
rnacentral:rRNA from 1 species